CCUACGGGAGGCAGCAGUGAGGAAUAUUGGUCAAUGGAGGCAACUCUGAACCAGCCAUGCCGCGUGAAGGAUGACGGCCCUAUGGGUUGUAAACUUCUUUUGAAUAGGAAGAAACUUAUCUACGUGUAGAUAACUGACGGUACUAUUAGAAUAAGGAUCGGCUAACUCCGUGCCAGCAGCCGCGGUAAUACGGAGGAUCCAAGCGUUAUCCGGAUUCAUUGGGUUUAAAGGGUCCGUAGGCGGGUUUUUAAGUCAGUGGUGAAAGCCGACAGCUCAACUGUCGAACUGCCAUUGAUACUGGAGACCUUGAGUACAAAUGAAGUAGGCGGAAUGAGUCAUGUAGCGGUGAAAUGCAUAGAUAUGACUCAGAACACCGAUUGCGAAGGCAGCUUACUAACAUGUAACUGACGCUGAGGGACGAAAGCGUGGGGAGCGAACAGGAUUAGAUACCCUGGUAGUCCACGCCGUAAACGAUCAUCACUCGCUGUUGGCGAUAUACUGUCAGCGGCCAAGCGAAAGUAUUAAGUGAUGCACCUGGGGAGUACGCCGGCAACGGUGAAACUCAAAGGAAUUGACGGA
rnacentral:rRNA from 1 species